CCUACGGGGGGCAGCAGUGGGGAAUAUUGGACAAUGGGGGGAACCCUGAUCCAGCCAUGCCGCGUGUGUGAAGAAGGCCCUCGGGUUGUAAAGCACUUUCAGUGAGGAAGAACGCCUGGUGGUGAAUACCCAUCAGGAAAGACAUCACUCACAGAAGAAGCACCGGCUAACUCCGUGCCAGCAGCCGCGGUAAUACGGAGGGUGCGAGCGUUAAUCGGAAUUACUGGGCGUAAAGCGCGCGUAGGUGGCUUGAUAAGCCGGUUGUGAAAGCCCCGGGCUCAACCUGGGAACGGCAUCCGGAACUGUCAAGCUAGAGUGCAGGAGAGGAAGGUAGAAUUCCCGGUGUAGCGGUGAAAUGCGUAGAGAUCGGGAGGAAUACCAGUGGCGAAGGCGGCCUUCUGGACUGACACUGACACUGAGGUGCGAAAGCGUGGGUAGCAAACAGGAUUAGAUACCCGUGUAGUC
rnacentral:rRNA from 1 species